rnacentral:lncRNA from 1 species
AAAGUCCUGCACCCAAAGCCCGGCACCCAAAGCCCGGCACCCAAAGCCCGGCACCCAAAGCCCGGCACCCAAAGCCUGGCACCCAAAGCCCGGCACCCAAAGCCCUGCACCCAAAGUCCUGCGCCAAAAGCAGGUGCCAAAGGCCUGCACCCAAAGCUGUGCACCCAAAGUCCUGAGCCAAAAGUCCUGUGCCAAAAGUCCUGCACCCAAAGUCUGGUGACAAAAUCGGGUGCCAAAGGCCAGCACCCAAAGCUCUGCACCCAAAGCUCUGCACCCAAAGUCCUGUGCCAAAAGUCCUGUGCCAAAAGUCCUGUGCCAAAAGUCCUGUGCCAGCCAAAAGUCCUGUGCCAAAGUCCCGUACCCAAAGCCCUGCACCCAAAGCCCUGCACCCAAAGCCCUGCACCCAAAACUCCUGCACCCAAAGCCCUGCACCCAAAGCCCUGCACCAAAAUCCUGCACCCAAAUCCUGCACCCAAAACUCCUGCACCCAAACUCCUGCACCCAAAGCCCUGCACCCAAAUCCUGCACCCAAAUCCUGCACCCAAAGCAGCGCACCCAAAACUCCUGCACCCAAACUCCUGCACCCAAACUCCUGCACCCAAAUCCUGCACCCAAAUCCUGCACCCAAAGUCCUGCACCCAAAGCCCUGCACCCAAAGCUCUGCACCCAAAGCCCUGCACCAGAAUCAGGUGCCAAAAUCCUGCACCCAAAGCCUGGCACCCAAAGGCCUUAGCCAAAAUCAGGUGCCAAAGUUCUGCACCCAAAUCCAGCACCCAAAGCCCGACACCCAAAGCUCUGCACCCAAAGCCCGGCACCCAAAGCUCUGCACCCAAAGCCUCGCACCCAAAUCCUGCACCCAAAGCCCCGCACCCAAAGCCCUGCACCCAAAUCCUGCACCCAAAGCCCUGCACCCAAAGCCCCGCAUCCAAAGCCCUGCACCAAAACCAGGCGCCAAAGUCCGGUCCUCAACGUCUUGCACCAAAACCUCUUGCACUAAAAUCACGAGCCCAAAUCCCGCGCCUCACGUCCCGCACCCAAAAUCCCGCACCCCUCGUUAGCCGCGCCGCUAACGAAGCCCACGGGCCGGCGUGCAGCUGCGGCCGUUGCAUUACGACGCAGGAAUGA